CUUGAACAAAUGUGUUUAUUCAGUAGCUUUUUGUCCAUGUAAUCAACCAUAUCUGCUUUGAUUUGAUUAAACAAGGAGCCGGGGCAUAAAAUCAUCUAUUGCAAUGCACUCUGUGCCUGUUACUCAUCCAGAAAAUGACACGCUCUGCAUUUGCCAAAGAGACUGCAUGUGAAGUCGUUGGAAGAGGUUCUGGCUCCUGACACAGGUACAGCACAGUGAAGUGUGGGAAACCCUUGUUCCAAUGUGCUUCAAUCAAGAGCAGGAGGGGUAAGGAAAGGUGGUAACUUGAAGGCCAGACCAUCCCUCCCUUGUACAGUUGAAGAAGCUUUGCCUGGGAGGCAGGUAUGUUUGUGACACACAGUCCAAGCUCGCACGCUAAGAUACGAUAUAAAUUACCAGUUAGAGGUAAGUUCCCAAAACAG
ensembl:lncRNA